CUUGUAGGCGGUUUGUCGCGUCUGCUGUGAAAGCCCGGGGCUUAACUCCGGGUCUGCAGUGGGUACGGGCAGGCUAGAGUGUGGUAGGGGAGACUGGAAUUCCUGGUGUAGCGGUGAAAUGCGCAGAUAUCAGGAGGAACACCGAUGGCGAAGGCAGGUCUCUGGGCCACUACUGACGCUGAGAAGCGAAAGCAUGGGGAGCAAACA
rnacentral:rRNA from 1 species